rnacentral:Y_RNA from 1 species
GGCUGCUCUGCUGAAGGUAGUGAGUUAUCUCAAUCAAUUGUUUGCAGCCAGUUUUACAGAUUGAAAUCCUUGUUCUACUCUUUCCCCCUGCUAUUUAUUUUUAAGACUAGUCACUAGUGCACUCGACUAGUCUUAA